GGGGCGGGGCGAUGGAUGGCGGGUGGGGGAAUACGGUCCCCAGUCGGAGGCAAAAGCCGGACUGGAGCAUUGGUGCUUGAUCUAGUGUCCUCCUCCUACCCUCCACUCUGCAUCUUGAUUUUCUGACUUGGUCCUUUAGCCUCCGCCACACUCUGCUCUGAGGGGGACAUCUACAAAGCCUGGGCUUGAGGAAAUAUACCAAACCCUCUUCAAGCACGUACCUCAGUUGAACCCCCUCCCUUCGCCCUGGGAUGUCGUUUCAGUUCUUAGAGAACUUGGAUACAAGCUUAGGAUGGGUGUUUGGGGUCCAGCCUAGAUUCUCCAGAGAACCUGGUCUACGUUCGCCUAACCUAAGAGAGCUCUCCCCUCACCCACCAUCAGCCUCCGGAGCUGUUUUCUGAAGCUGCGGUUAUGUUUCUGAAAUUUCACAUUUUUAUGGAUUUGGGGAACAGUGCUUCAAACAGGAUAUGCAUUCUUUUCUCAGGGGCCAGGUUCGCACUGUCCGGGGAGGAGCGACAUAACCCAUCACUCCGCAGCUCUCCCGCGGCAGUUCGCAAGGGUUCCAAUGCAGCGGUUUUGCCAGCCUUCCCCCUCCCUCCCUCGCGCUGCGACCAUCUCCCACUGGACCACGGGGCUUAAGCUCAGAGUGAUUUCCUUUCCUUGGGCGUCAGUAUUGGACGACAAGGCCAAAAUGGGGUCUUUGGGUCACUGCAUUCUAAAUUGGAGCUGGCCUUGCUGUUCGCGUGGUUCUCCAGAGGACAGGCCAGUGGUCCUUGGGGGGAGGGGAGUGGCAUCCUAGCUUCUUGGACGUGUGACCUGCGACCUGCGACCGCGGGCCAGUGUCCCAAUCUGCUCAAGUUAGUUUCCAAUGCAGGCACUAAGUCCGGAGGGCAAGAAGGCGGUUGACCAUUAGAACCUGUACUCUGUAAUCUAUCUACCCCAACCUUCCAGGGUACUGUGGCCUAAGGGGUCUCUUGGUUAGGAGGUCCAGACCCAGUCAGUCCUUGGUCGCAUAUGGCGGGAGAGGAGGAGGGCGAAGAUAAUUUUCCUUUUUUGACGCUGCCCUGGUGAGUCCAACUGGCCACAGCAAAACCCAAACGCUUACCUCCUAGCUGGGCCUCCAGAACCCCGAAGGGCAGUGGGGUCUACACCCCCUACAACUAUGGGGACUCCAGGCCAGGUCUUGCAGCGGCCCGCCGAAAUGCCCGGAGCCUUGGUCUGGAGAAGCGCUCGGGGCGCCCUCGCUGCUACAAAGCGGGUUAAAGUCUAUUUUCCACUCCACUGCUCCGAAAAGCCCCCGCAAGCCUGUACCAUUCCGACCCCCGUGGGCGAGAUGGGGAGGAGGCGGCGAGAGGGGGCUGAAAGAGGACCGCACCUUGCAGCCCUUCCCGUCCUGGGUGACCCAGGACCAGAUACUUGGGUUUCCCACUCUUUACCAGAUUCGCGCUACUCACCCUGUCUCACCCUGCCUUCUCCGGAUCUCUGCAACUUCUUAUGAUGCUUUGCCAACUCCCCCAACCCGAUACCUGACUCAGAUCGUCCCUUUUCAACUCCUGCUUCCUCUGUCCACAUAAGGAUCAAUCUUUCCCUCUUUUCCUUUGCCACAUACUGGAUGGCAGGGCGGGGUGGGGGUGUUGAUCACUAAAGUGGCAGAGGUGGGCAUCAGAAGAAGGUCUCCUUGGAGCAAGGUCUGGGCAGAAACGGAGUUUCCAUUGAGUAAAACUGUCUAGGCUUAAGCUCUGGGGACAACCAAGUGUUGGGCUCUAUGGGGGAGACAGAACAGGCCCCCUUUCUGGUCUGUGUGCUCUGAGUCCCACAGGUCAUCCUCAGGCUCCUCCUUCUCCCCUCGUGUCUAGCCCGGGCAGUAGCUAAGAACCCCUUAAAGGAGGCGAUCAGCUGGGAAGCUGCACUGUCUCCACCAUCCCAGUCUCGCAUCUAAAGAACCUGCUCGGCUCAUCACUGCUCCUAGGCAGUCCUCCACCCACGCGCCUUCCUCCCUAUUCCUCUCCAGAAUUCCCUAAUCCCCUCCUGUCAGGCUGCAGGCAUUGAUACCUGCCUGGUUUCCUGACCUCUGCUCCCCUUAGGGCCUCCUCUUCCUAGCUACUCCCCUGCAGCAGCUGGAGAAGUAGCCAAGGCUUCCAUCCCUUACUGGAUUCUGCAUGGAAGUUCUGACCUUCACCCAGUUCUCUCUUCCUGCCCUCCACCCUGCUCUGCCCUCGCCCCCACAGCAUGCACACCUCUCCUUCUACCACCAUCCUUUACCAAAAUACCCCCCACCCCACCCCCGCCACACACACACCUUUCACCUUCAGCCUGCUGCCCACUUUAUCAUCCUGUGGUCUCCCUUCCCAUCCAAACUGUUGGGCUCUGCAGGAGAGGGAGGCCCAUCACACACAGUAAGAGCUCCUACACUCCACACAUCUGCCUGGCUGUGCCAGCUCAUCCCACAUCUGUCCAGCCUUUUCCCUCGAUUUCUUCAGAGAUCCUGGCACCUACUCUGCUGAUCCAACCUGAACCAUCUGGACCAUUCUGUCUGUUUCUCUCUCCUCAGUCUCUGAGAUGGCAUGGACCAAAUGCAGACUCUGUGUACUGGACCAUGAGACUUGUUCAAGCAUCCUGCCUCCAGUGCAUAGCUUGUGCUUUCAGAAGCCAGAAGAGGACAUCCAAUCCCUCGGAGCUAGUGUUCCAGGAAGUUGUGAGCUGCCUGAUGUAAGUGUAGGGACUGAACUCCCAACUUCUGCAACUUUGCCACUGAGCUAUCCCUCCAGCCCUAACUGUUUUCAGCAUGGUUUAAAAUCUUUAGCUUGGCCUUAAGGACCUCCAUAAGCAAACCUUUCCUUUCUGGCUUCCUGCCCUCUGUUCUUCUGUGGGCAGCAUGCCCUGGAACUACUGCCAGCCAGAGUGCUCACCAGGGGCACUGUCCAGUGCUGGCACCACCUGCCCUGGGCUAGACCCUCCCACAUCAAUUAUUAAUCAAGAAAAGCUUCCCACAGCCUUACCUGUACGUCAGUGUGAUUCAAGUGAUGUCUAACGUUUUUCUCCUUUAUGUCCUGGUCAAAGCAGUGCACCAGCUGCAGGUGCCAGCCUAACUUCAGAGAGGAGAGAGAUUGUCACCAGUGUCUGGAGUGAAGGACGUGGAAUGUCAGCGCCAUGAGAAUUUUUCCAUCCUGUUCGUGGCUGUGUUUCUAACGCUCAGGCCAUGAUUGCCUGACACACAGUCAAUACUCAUUAAAGAUGUUUUUGACUGAAUGUAUUUAUUUGAGAAACACAUUUCAAGGUUAUGUUUGUUCUGAGACAGUGUGAAAAUGCAACUCCCCUGCCCUGGGAGGCUUGCCAUGAAGGAAGAGGUGUGAUCUACUGCCCCCCAGUGUGGACUUCCCUGCUAGGACAUGUGGGAAGGAGACUCCUCCUGCAGGGUUCUGUACUGCUUUGGAAGAACAUUCAGAUAUCUUGAACUUGGAACCUGCUCACUAAUGGGAAACCUCUUAGUGGAUGCACUGGUAAGUUUUUUGUCAGCUUGAUACGAAGCUAAAACCAUCCAGGAAGAGGGAAUCUCACCGAGAAAUCACCUGAAUCACACUGACGUACAGGCAAGGUCUCACAAUGUAGCCCACGGUGGCAUUGAACUCAAAGCAAUCUUCCUGCAUCAGCCUCCUGAGUGCUGGGAUUACAGGUCUGUGCCCCCACAGCCACCCUAACUGACUGUAUGAUGCCUAAGGAGGAAAGCAGUGUCUGAACUGAAAGCCUUCUAUUCCAGGAGGGCAGUGAUGGUGCAUGCCUUUAAGGUGAAUCUCUGAGUUCAAGGCCAGCCUGCUCUACAGAGC